UACAGGGGGGGCAAGCGUUGUUCGGAAUUACUGGGCGUAAAGGGCUCGUAGGUGGCCAACUAAGUCGGACGUGAAAUCCCUCAGCUUAACUGGGGAACUGCGUCCGAUACUGGAUGGCUUGAGUUUGGGAGAGUGAUGCGGAAUUCCAGGUGUAGCGGUGAAAUACGUAGAUAUCUGGAGGAACACCGGUGGCGAAGGCGGCAUCCUGGACCAACACUGACACUGAGGAGCGAAAGCCAGGGGAGCAAACGGG
rnacentral:rRNA from 1 species